UACGUAGGGGCCAGCGUUGUUCGGAAUUACUGGGUGUAAAGGGUUCGUAGGCGGUGCGGCAAGUUGGGAGUGAAAUCUCUGGGCUCAACCCAGAGACGGCUUCCAAAACUGCUGUGCUUGAGUGUGGGAGAGGCUCGUGGAAUUGCAGGUGUAGCGGUGAAAUGCGUAGAUAUCUGCAGGAACACCCGUGGCGAAAGCGGCGAGCUGGACCACUACUGACGCUGAAGAACGAAAGCUAGGGGAGCAAACAGG
rnacentral:rRNA from 1 species